rnacentral:rRNA from 1 species
GUCGGGAAUUUUGCGCAAUGGGCGAAAGCCUGACGCAGCAACGCCGCGUGAGGGAUGAAGGCCUUCGGGUUGUAAACCUCUUUUCUCAGGGACGAUAAUGACGGUACCUGAGGAAUAAGCCACGGCUAACUACGUGCCAGCAGCCGCGGUAAUACGUAGGUGGCGAGCGUUGUCCGGAUUUACUGGGCGUAAAGAGCGCGCAGGCGGUCGUGCAAGUCGCGUGUGAAAGCCCCCGGCUCAACUGGGGAGGGUCACGCGAUACUGCUCGACUCGAAGGCGGGAGAGGGAAGUGGAAUUCCCGGUGUAGUGGUGAAAUGCGUAGAUAUCGGGAGGAACACCAGUGGCGAAGGCGACUUCCUGGCCCGUUCUUGACGCUGAGGCGCGAAAGCUAGGGGAGCAAACGGGAUUAGAUACCCCUGUAGUCC